rnacentral:lncRNA from 1 species
AGGGAGCCCUGAGAAGAGGGGUGUGCAACAUGGUGAUUAAUUAAUAUAGUAGAAAUAUCCCUUUUUAAGUCGUUAUUUCAUAUUUGUUUGCUUUCUGGUUUCUGCAGGCAUGAUAAUACAAGCACUUGUUCAUACCGAUUAAGCCUACUGAACAAUCAGCCAUAGGUGAACAAUUGUUACGUGUGGUUGAUUUACAAAUAGGUAUUUUUAGUCAAAGUCCAAUAAAUGGACAAUGCCAUGGUUGGUUGGUUUUCUCUGGUAUGCUUGAUAACGACUUAUGACUGGUCUUUCAUAAUAGACACCAAGUAGAGUUUUUGAAAAUCACACUUGACAAAAAUCGACAUUUUAAAAUUGGUGAUUUGAGUCCCCAGCGCAGUUGGCAAAUGGAGGUGAGUUCAUAUUUAAGCAUUUCUGUCCCUAGUGGAUUGAUAGUAUGAUCCAAUUUUUUUGGUAGAUAACAACCAAGUCACAUAGCAUUCUUAUACCAUGCAUAGGCCUAAUAAGAAAAUUUAUGCAUUCAGCUCAGGUUUGCUUGAAUUUGUAAAAAAAGGAGAGUGGAACAUUUUUUUGGGACACCCUGUAGAAUGGAUGGGCCCUGUAUUCUAUAGUUGCACCCAUCCCAAGCUGUAUACGUCUCACUCAGUGUACAUACGUACUGCGUACUUGGCUCUCUAUAGCGCCCUCUAUUGACUACAGUUUACUUCCUUCCCACCCUGCAUCGGCGAAUCCAAGACGGAGUGAGUGGGUAGAUUGAGGUCAGAUUAAGAUGGGGAAAUAAAGUAGUGAGUCCUAGGUUAAAUAAAGUAGUGAUGACAAUCUUCAUGUCCAACCACCCCGCAUCCAAUACAUCCCAAGCCAUCUCACUCGAUACUACGUACUUGUCAAUAAUUCCUUCUCUAUAGCGCCCUCUAUUGAUCACAAUUUACUUCAUUAAUACCCUUCACUCUCUAUACUGCCCUCUAUUUUGUGUACAUCCACUUCAUGCCCAUCCACUGUCUCAUACCUUUGAUCAAUCAAUUCCUAACGUCGCAUCGUUCUCAAAGGAGUGCCAUUCUACUCAACAACCCCACUUCUCAUAUCGCAUCCAAAAACCAAAAAAAACUUUUCCGACGUGGCCCUGCAUUCUAUAAACUUUGCUCCUAUGACACUUCUCCUGUGAAUGCUGAUGGUAUUUUCAUGCCCGGGAGAUGGUUUUUAAUAUUGAGUUUUGCCCUUCACCGAUGUAGUAUUAAUAAACACUGUAUCCUCAGCACUGUCCACGAGCAUGCAAGAAAACCAUCACAAACUUGGUCGGGUGGGACUCGGACCCAUGACUUCCUGCUUUUUAGUGCAGUCGUCUUAACCACCCGGGGUUGGCUGGCUGGUUAGAAUCUGGGGAGAUAAACGGCACACUCAAGUGAAAAAUAACAUUAUUUGAAAAUAUUUGAGUCACUUCUGGGGGGGGGGGGGGGUCCUGGAUCUGCUGAUGUUGAACCUCAAUGUGUGGACUUGUCCCAUAUUGUUAGCCACCCAACAAUGCGUACUCAAAUUGAGCAGUUGGUUUUCCCAAAUUUGACAUGGAAUUUCUACUUGUUUUUCACUAUGGAAGCUACUGGUACAUACCAGGUUAAAAAGCAGCAAUCCUAGAAGUCCAGUUAUUAUGCCGUUAGCGUAAAAAAAUAAGUUACAGUAUUUUCGAACAAAUGUUCAUUGUUCAUGUCAUUUCAUUUUUUUUUAUAGUCAAUGGACACUAAUAUUUAAUGCAACUUUUUAUUUCCUGAACAUAAACUGUGAGAAUUUAGGUGUUAAUUGAAAAUAGGUUCAUUUUUUUCAUUCAAAGAUUUUGUUUUGUGUGAUUCCAUUGUUCUGCGGUGAGUCAUAAAAAGUAGUAUAUUCACAACUAUCACCAGAAUAUCACUCAGUCAUGGGCAUAGCUUAUUUUUCUCUCUUUUUACAAUUUUGUUUAUAAG